rnacentral:rRNA from 1 species
AACGAACGCUGGCGGCAUGCCUAACACAUGCAAGUCGAACGGGAUCCUGGCUUCGGCCAGGUGAGAGUGGCGGACGGGUGAGUAACGCGUGGGAACCUGCCCAUUGGUCUGGGAUAACUGCGGGAAACUGCAGCUAAUACCGGAUGUACCCGAGAGGGGAAAGAUUUAUCGCCGAUGGAGGGGCCCGCGUCAGAUUAGGUAGUUGGUGAGGUAACGGCUCACCAAGCCUACGAUCUGUAGCUGGUCUGAGAGGAUGAUCAGCCACACUGGGACUGAGAUACGGCCCAGACUCCUACGGGAGGCAGCAGUGGGGAAUAUUGGACAAUGGGGGCAACCCUGAUCCAGCAAUGCCGCGUGAGUGAUGAAGGCCUUAGGGUUGUAAAGCUCUUUUUACCAGGGACGAUGAUGACGGUACCUGGAGAAUAAGCCCCGGC